GGGCUUACACAUGCAAGUCGAACGAGAACGGAUUAUAGCUUGCUAUAAUUGUCAGCUGAGUGGCGCACGGGUGAGUAAUAUAUAGGUAACGUGCCCUAGAGAAGAGGAUAACAGUUGGAAACGAUUGCUAAGACUCUAUAUGCCUUUAAGACUUAAGUCUGCAAGGGAAAUAUUUAUAGCUCUAGGAUCGGCCUGUACAGUAUCAGUUAGUUGGUGAGGUAAUGGCUCACCAAGACAAUGACGCUUAACUGGUUUGAGAGGAUGAUCAGUCACACUGGAACUGAGACACGGUCCAGACUCCUACGGGAGGCAGCAGUGGAGAAUAUUGCACAAUGGACGAAAGUCUGAUGCAGCAACGCCGCGUGGAGGAUGACACAUUUCGGUGCGUAAACUCCUUUUAUAUGGGAAGAUAAUGACGGUACCAUAUGAAUAAGCACCGGCUAACUCCGUGCCAGCAGCCGCGGUAAUACGGAGGGUGCAAGCGUUACUCGGAAUCACUGGGCGUAAAGAGCGUGUAGGCGGGUAAUUAAGUCAGAAGUGAAAUCCAAUAGCUCAACUAUUGAACUGCUUUUGAAACUGAUUACCUAGAAUAUGGGAGAGGUAGAUGGAAUUUCUGGUGUAGGGGUAAAAUCCGUAGAGAUCAGAAGGAAUACCGAUUGCGAAGGCGAUCUACUGGAACAUUAUUGACGCUGAGACGCGAAAGCGUGGGGAGCAAACAGGAUUAGAUACCCUGGUAGUCCACGCCCUAAACGAUGUACACUAGUUGUUGUGAGGCUCGACCUUGCAGUAAUGCAGUUAACACAUUAAGUGUACCGCCUGGGGAGUACGGUCGCAAGAUUAAAACUCAAAGGAAUAGACGGGGACCCGCACAAGCGGUGGAGCAUGUGGUUUAAUUCGACGAUACACGAAGAACCUUACCUGGACUUGACAUAGUAAGAACUUUCUAGAGAUAGAUUGGUGUCUGCUUGCAGAAACUUAUAUACAGGUGCUGCACGGCUGUCGUCAGCUCGUGUCGUGAGAUUGGUAAGUCCCGCAACGAGCGCAACCCUCGUCAUCUACAGUUCGGCUGAAACUCUACUCACGCAGGGAAGGUGAGACGACGAUCAUCAUGUACGCCGCCACCGCUAACAAAUUGGAGGGUUUAUU
rnacentral:rRNA from 1 species